GGUUUGUAGGCAGUGUAGUUAGCUGAUUGUAUCUGCUGUUCCGCAAUCAUUAACUUCACUGCCAUCAAAAC
rfam:Egretta garzetta contig44772, whole genome shotgun sequence.